AAUCAACGCUGGCAGCGUGCCUCAGACAUGCAAGUCGAACGAUUAAGACUUCCUUCGGGAAGUGUAUAAAGUGGCGCACGGGUGAGUAACACGUAGGUAAUGUGCCUUUGGGUGGGGAAUAACUUAGGGAAACUUAAGCUAAUACCGCAUAAUGCAGCGGCUCGACAUCGAGACAGUUGUUAAAGGAGUAAUCCGCCUAAAGAGCAGCCUGCGGCAGAUUAGCUAGUUGGUAAGGUAAUGGCUUACCAAGGCUACGAUCUGUAACCGACCUGAGAGGGUGGUCGGUCACACUGACACUGAAUAACGGGUCAGACUCCUACGGGAGGCAGCAGUCGGGAAUUUUGGGCAAUGGGCGAAAGCCUGACCCAGCAACGCCGCGUGAAGGAUGAAGUAUUUCGGUAUGUAAACUACGUAAGAAUAGGAAGAAUAAAUGACGGUACUAUUUGUAAGGUCCGGCUAACUACGUGCCAGCCGCCGCCGUAACAC
rnacentral:rRNA from 1 species